rnacentral:misc_RNA from 1 species
UUAUCAGAAAUUCGAAGGGGGGCGACGCGCUUUGCCCCCUUUUACCUCUCUCACACCCGUGUGCACCCAUUCGCAAGGUCCUCCGGGACCUGCGCAUCCUAUCGUGGAACUCCGCAUGUCUACAGAAUGUCAUGAAAUUUGAAACGAG